AUGCAGUCGAGCGAACUGAUUAGAAGCUUGCUUCUAUGACGUUAGCGGCGGAUGGGUGAGUAACACGUGGGCAACCUGCCUGUAAGACUGGUAUAACUUCGGGAAACCGAAGCUAAUACCGGAUAGGAUCUUCUCCUUCAUGGGAGAUGAUUGAAAGAUGGUUUCGGCUAUCACUUACAGAUGGGCCCGCGGUGCAUUAGCUAGUUGGUGAGGUAACGGCUCACCAAGGCCACGAUGCAUAGCCGACCUGAGAGGGUGAUCGGCCACACUGGGACUGAGACACGGCCCAAACUCCUACGGGAGGCAGCAGUAGGGAAUCUUCCGCAAUGGACGAAAGUCUGACGGAGCAACGCCGCGUGAGUGAUGAAGGCUUUCGGGUCGUAAAACUCUGUUGUUAGGGAAGAACAAGUACGAGAGUUUUUGCUCGUACCUUGACGGUCCCUAACCAGAAAGCCACGGCUAACUACGUGCCAGCAGCCGCGGUAAUACGUAGGUGGCAAGCGUUCUCCGGAAUUAUUGGGCGUAAAGCGCGCGCAAGCGGUUUCUUAUGUCUGAUGUGA
rnacentral:rRNA from 2 species